rnacentral:rRNA from 1 species
UACGUAGGGGGCGAGCGUUAUCCGGAAUUACUGGGUGUAAAGGGAGCGUAGACGGCGAAGUAAGCCUGAAGUGGAAGCCCGCGGCCCAACCGCGGAACUGCUUUGGGAACUGCUUAGCUGGAGUAUGGGAGGGGUAAGCGGAAUUCCUGGUGUAGCGGUGAAAUGCGUAGAUAUUAGGAGGAACACCAGUGGCGAAGGCGGCUUACUGGACUGUAACUGACGUUGAGGCUCGAAAGCGUGGGGAGCAAACAGG